rnacentral:lncRNA from 1 species
AGAAAAAAAAUAGGCAUUAUAGGGAGAAAACUUACAUCUUCAAAGAGGUAACGCAAAAUAUUUCAACUAUGAUAUAGAAUAGGAUGCUAUAGAAUAAAACAUUCAGUCAGGUAUGGUGGUACACACUUCUAAUCCCGGCACUUUGGGAGGCUGAGGCAGCCGCGAUUCCUCUAUGUUGUAGCAUGUCUCUCAAAACUUGAUUCCUUUUUCUGGCUGAAUAGUUUAUUGUGUGAUAUGCCACCUGGUGUUUAUUAAUCAGUUGAUGGACUUUUAGAUUGUUUCUAUGUUUUGGCAAUUGUGAAUAAUGCUGUAGUAAAUACUCGUGUACAAGUUUUUGUUUGAACACCUGUUUUCGCUUCUUUUGAGUCUAUACCUAGGAGUGGAAUUACUGGGUUAUAUGAUAAUUCUAUUUUUUUUCUUUCUUUCUUUUUUUUCUUUUCUUUGAAAAAAAAAAAAACACUUAAUAAAGUGAGAAUAGAAGGAAAGCUCCUCAA